rnacentral:RNase_P_RNA from 1 species
GAAGUAAGUCGGGCGACCGCUGCCGUGCGCAGCACGGGAGAGGAAGGUCCGGACUCCACAGGGUAGGGUGACGGCUAACGGCCGUACGCAGCAAGCAAUCGAGAGAUUGUCCAAGGCGAGGAAUAGGGCCACAGAGACGAGUAAGCGCAGGAAACUGUGUGGACGUGAAACGCGGCAACCUCCACCCGGAGCAACACCAAAUAGGCGCACGCCCGGCUUUGCCGGAAAGGAUGUCCCGUCCGAUGUGCGCGGGUAGGUGGCUUGAGCCUGCUGGUAACGGCAGGCCUAGAGGGAUGGUCGCUAUAAGGCAUCGCACUGCGGCGCCUCGUAACAGAAUCCGGCCUA